rnacentral:rRNA from 1 species
UACGAAGGGGGCUAGCGUUGCUCGGAAUCACUGGGCGUAAAGCGCACGUAGGCGGAUUGUUAAGUCAGGGGUGAAAUCCUGGAGCUCAACUCCAGAACUGCCUUUGAUACUGGCGAUCUCGAGUCCGGGAGAGGUGAGUGGAAUUCCGAGUGUAGAGGUGAAAUUCGUAGAUAUUCGGAAGAACACCAGUGGCGAAGGCGGCUCACUGGCCCGUUACCGACGCUCAGGCGCGACAGCGUGGGGAGCAAACAGG